UUGCCUCUUAGCGAGGAUUUGGGUAAUUCUACACAAGAACAUAAACGCGCGCCGGUACCGAAAUCCCCGCUCUACAAACCUUCAAGUGUAAAAAAAAUCAUUAUUUUUAGUGCUUUCUUAUAGUAGAAAUCAGUGAUAGAGACAAAAACGUAACAAUAAUCUCCCCUUUGGUAACUUAUGUUGAAAAAUAAUGACUUAUAGCGGGGAUUUCUGUAAUUCUACUUUCACCCGCCGAGUACCUAAAUCCCCCAUAUUUACGCCUUAAAGGGUCAAUAUGUCAUCGAUAUGAUUGUUUUAAUAUUAAUUUGUAAGCUCUCUUGACAGCAUACGUUGCCUCUUAGCGGGAAUUUCGGUAAUUCUACACAAGAAAUUGAACGCGCGCCAUUACCGAAAUCCCAUCUGUACAAACCUUCAAGUGUCAAAAAAAUCAUUAUAGAGCUUUUUAUAGUAGAAAUCUCCAAUUUGGCAACUUCUCUUGAAAAAAUUUGACUUAUAGCGGGGAUUUGGGUAAUUCUACAUUCGCCCUCCGAUUACCAAAAUCCCCCAUAUUUACAUCUGAAAGGGUCAAUUUUUCAUUAGUAUUGUUAGGAUUUUGGCGCGUCGUCGCACACACGACGUCGCCGCAAUCGUUCACGUUUUUAUUUGACGUCAUAUUUAUAUACUUGUUAUUGUACGUUACUUUUUGAAAAGUCAGAUAAAGGUACGAACCUACAGAACGCGUAGUUUUCUAAUACGAUCGCACAUUUUGGUGCCGUGAACCGAACACAAACACGAACCUACAAAAGUUAUAAGCAACAAGAGACGGACAUAGGGCUACGCUUGAAGAUUUAUUCGUGCAAAUAGAAACGGCAAAGGAAAAUAACUCAUACGAGAAUUUGAGUUGUGCUUAGAAAUGAUCAAUGACGUUCUUGCAUUGUUAAAGUCUGUUGACGAGAAGAUUACAAACACCGUCGACUCAGAAAACAUUGCUACGGAGCUCAGAGAAACAGCUGCAUACAGUUUUCAUCUGAAAUUAAAGUUGCACAGAUAUAAGAAUCAUUCAGCAAACGCUAAACAAUGUUCGAGCGCCCCACCCGCUAGCCUAGAACAUGAAGCUGAAAACACUAACCAGUCAUCGAUACCGCACAUACAAGCCCCAGCUGUAUAGGAACCGCACAUACAAGCCCCAGCUGUACAGAAACCGCGAGAGAUGAUACAGCAAGUACAGAAACUGCUGCAAAUGUCACAUCAUUUACCAAAAACAACACUACCAACUUUCAACGGUGAAUUAAUGAGCUGGCCUACGUUUUGGAAUUCGUUUUCAUCCGCAGUACACAACAACCCCCACUUGCCUGACAUACAGAAGUUUUCAUACCUGAAAUCUCUUAUGCAAGACGAAGCUGCCAGAACAAUUGAUGGAUUUACGCUAAGUAACGCCAACUACCAGCAAGCUGUAAAUUUACUACAACAGCGGUAUGGGCAGAUUUAGAAGAUCACCGCUGCCUACAUGUCCAACUUACUACAGCUGCCGUCACCCGCCGCAAACAUCCGAGAGCUUCGUUACUUCUACGAUCGUCUGGAAACCAACAUCCGAGGUUUAGAGGCACUUGAAGAGGCACAGGAUUCCUACGGUAAUCUGUUGAUUCCUAUUAUUUAAGAAAGGCUCCCGUCGGAAACCCGCAGAAAUCUAGCCCGAGAAAAUAAAAUCGGAACGUGGACUCUCCCAGAUUUGAGGCAAGCUAUUUUUCGCGAGAUCGGUAUUAUGGAAGCUGGAAACAGUCAGGAAAUCCUCGACACACUAUUUCCGACAGCAGCCUUCCAUUCAAGUGCCCGGAUGAACGGAAAUCGACAAAAGCGAACCGAUGCCAAUGCGCGAAUGACGAUCAGUGAACGUGAGAUUAAGAAGAGACGAACAGAAUGUGUAUUUUGCGGAAAACAACAUAACGGUGACUGUUAUUCUGUAAAUAGCAUUCCCGAGAGGGUUUCUAUUGUGAAAAACAAGAAAUUGUGUUUUUAUUGUUUAAGUUACAGACAUUCAGUGAGAGAUUGUCCAUCGUCACGGAGAUGCAGACAUUGUGCACGUAAACACCACCCGAAUUUGUGCGAGAAUACACAGGCAAAGACGCCGUCCCCAGGAAACGGAACAGCCGUUACCAUAAGUCAUCCGAAUGAAAGUAUCGAAAGUGCUUGUAACAAUGACACCGGUGCUACAGUGCUUCACACCACUGCGAAAUCGACCCCCUCUAGCGUGCUGCUGAAAACUGAAAACUGCGGUAGCGCCAGUGUAUUCACACGGUUUGUGCUUAGACGCUAACAUUUUGAUGGAUGAAGGAGCACAUCGGUCUUUCAUCACACAUGAUAUGGCCGAUCAUCUGCACUUGAAGCGUGAAGGUUCUGACGUCAUUAAUCAAUCCGCGUUUGGAGAUCGAGCCCAGAAGACACAGCGACUGGACACAUCCAAAGUGCAAUUGGUAGCGGGCGAAGAUCCCGAUACGUGUGUUGAUUGUACCCUUCAUUGCAAAACCACUGUUCAACUACUUCCGGUCAUCUGUUACAGAUCUUCCCUAUCUCCGGGGCCUUAAGCUUGCACACCCAAUUACAUCAGAAGCAGACUUGGAGAUUAACAUUUUGAUCGGUGCCGACCAUUACUGGGAUAUUGUUGGUGAUGAAAUCAUCAGAGGCGACGGCCCAACUGCAGUUGGAUCUCGUCUUGGUUUCUUAUUGUCAGGGCCACUUCCGGAAAGCGCAAAUCAUGGAACGAGCGUUAUGGAUGUUAUCACUGCACAUGUAGCUACAGAUGUAUCACGCUUCUGGGAUAUUGAGACGUUAGGCAUCAAACCGGAAGACGCAGAACAGGCAUGCGCAGUCGACCAUAUGAAAAGCUACCAAGACACGUGUAUAACAUUUUCUGGCGGUAAAUACACAGCAAUAUUGCCAUGGAACGAGGAACACGCCACUCUACCUACAAAUUACGAAAUAGCAAGGAAGAGAACCGAAAGUAGCAUAAGAAGACCCAGCAACACUUGCCUGUUAUAGCAAGAUCAUAAAUGACCAAGAGAGACGCGGAUUUAUUAAAUGGGUCGAAGACGAUAGCACAUCGGCUCGUAUUCACUAUAUUCCACAUCAUGGGGUUGAAAAGGACUCUGCUACAACUCCAAUGAAAAUUGUUUACAAUUGUAGUUGUCGACAAGCAACCGGAAGUGCCAGUCUCAAUGAUUGUUUAAUGUCAACGCCACCGGAACUCAAUGAUCUCACACUGCUACUGAUGAAGUUUCGAGUAGGCAAGUACGGUGUUGUCUCUGACAUAGAGAAGGCAUUCCUCAACGUUAUGCUACAUGAAGAUGAUCGUGAUGUCACAAGAUUCCUUUGGCUGUCGGACCCUACAGACCCAUGCCGUCCACUGACGACAUACCGUUUCCGAGCUGUUUUAUUCGGAGCAACGUGUUCCCCAUUUAUUCUAAGCGCAACAAUUUUGAAGCACUUGACCCUCAACAAAGACAACACAGCGGCGAGCACAAUCAGACCUAUACGUCGACAACGUCGUUUCAAGUUUCACAUCAGAGACUGAUGUACUGAAGUACUUCCGCCAUGCACGUGAUUUGAUGGCAUCCGACGGCUUUAACCUGAGAUCAUGGACGUCAAAUUCAAGCGCACUGAUGACUAUGGCAGAAGCUGAAGGUGUCGUAGAAAGGGAUGCUGUGAUAAAGUUGUUAGGUUUGCUAUGGGAACCGGAAAUAGACCAGAUGUCAUUUGUCAUGCGCUCCAUAAAUUCCAAGGAAAAGGCUACUAAGCGUGGAAUUUUACAGCAGACGUCGAAGAUUUAUGUCCCGCUAGGCAUGUUAGCCCCAGUCACCAUUCGUGCAAAGUUGCUGAUUCAGGACCUAUGGAAGCGGAAGUAUGUGUGGGACACACCAAUUCCGGAACGUGAACAAAACGCCUGGCUACACAUCGCAGAAGACUUAAAUGAAGCUAUGACGACAUCGUUCCCGAGACAGUAUUUUAAUGGACAACCCAUCGAACAUGGUCGAUGAAGAUUACGUGUGACACGUGUUUGUUGACGCCAGUACACGUGCGUACGGCGCAGUCGCAUACCUGAACACAUCGUCGAGUUCAGCGUUCGUCUUUGCCAAGAACCGAGUGGCUCCAGUAAAUGAAUUAUCUCUACCGAGGCUGGAAUUAAUGGCGGCGCUCUUUGGCGCACGUGUCGCCCAGCACGUGAUGAAAGCUGUUCUUUGCAAGAGAGUAGUCUGCUGGUUUGACAGUCAGAUCACGCUGCAUUGGAUACAUUCUACAAAACAAUUAAAACGUUUUGAAAAGAACAGAGUAGAAGAGAUCCGGAAGCUCGCCCCAGACGCGGAAUGGCGGUAUUGUCCGACAGUCGACAAUCCGGCGGAUCUCCAGACACGUGGCAUCUUUGCGUCUCAACUUAAGAAAAGCAUUCUUUGGAGAGAAGAUCCCCCAUGGCUGAAUGACACAAGUAAAAGGCCGUCGUUGAAUACAGCAGCAAUCACGACAGGUUGUUGGAAACAGAAGAAGAAACAGAAGAAGAGGAAAAAGAAGAUGAUAAUAAUGAUGAAAUCGUUUGCGUACAGACCUACAGCUUGAUGUCAGCAACUGAUUCUCUUUUCAUUGUCGAUUGCGAAAGAUUUAGCAGUUACCGGAAAUUAAUUCGUACUACUGCUUACGUAUACAGAUUCGUAAGAAAUUGCCGGUCAACACCAGAAACUCGACAACUCGGUUGUAUUUCUGUGAAUGAAAUGAACUUUGCUGAGAAAGCAUUGAUACGAAGUGUCCAGAACCAGAGCUACAAUGACGUAAUGACAGAGCUUUAAAAUAACAACAUAUGACAGUCGAUCAUUAAGCAAUUACGUCUAUAUAUUGACGAUGAUGGAUGCGUUCGCUGUGGCGGGAGGAUUCACAACGCACGAAUACCUGCAGAUACAAGAUUCCCGUAUCUCCUGCCUACACGUAGUCAUUGAUCAUUACAGACGCUCAUUGCUGCCAGUUACAUGCCGGCGUUUUGCAGACAGUAACUCACAUACGACAAAAAUACUGGAUACCUUCAAUUCGCCAGCGAGUCAAGGGUAUUUUAAGGAAAUGUACUACGUGCUUGAAGAUCAACAGCAGACCCUACAGAGUGCCUACCUCUCCUCCACUUCCGAAAGACAGAGUUUCUGACGAGGCACCGUUCCUUGUUACCGGCGUAGACUUUACGGGCGCCCUUCGCGUCAGAGAGAAAACAGGUAUACAGAAGGUGUACAUUUGCCCAUUUACCUGCACCAGUACCCGAGCCGUGCACCUUGAAGUUGUUCCCGACUUAUCAGAAGAAACAUUCAUGCUGGCAUUUAGACGGUUUGUCAGCCGACGAUCCGUACCGAAGAUCAUGAUGUCAGACAAUGCGACCACCUUCCGAGCUGCGGCAAGUCACAUUCGCCGAUUAACACACAACACUCAGGCGUGUCUUGCAGUACAGGGCACAGAAUGGAAGUUAAUACCGCAACGCGCACCUUGGUAUGGUGGUUGGUGGAAACGGAUAAUAGGCAUCACGAAGAAGACCAUAAAGAAAGUACUUGGUAAUGCUUCAGUAGACUUACAUACACUGCAGACCGCCGUCGUCAAUUAUCUAUGAUAGACCGCUGACAUUCGUUUCAACAUCACGUGAAGAUCCAGAGCCGCUUACACCCGCUCAUCUGUUGUACGGCAAGCGGAUGACGUCACUGCCUACAUACGACACUCCCGAUACAGACGAUGUUAUUGGGCGCAAUCAUACCAGAGAUAACGCAGCACGGCGUUAUGACCAACACAGACGAGUCAUCGACCAAUACUGGGCGUGCUGGAAACGUGAAUACUUGACGUCACUACGCAAGCACCAUAAGACGGGAGGGACUACCGAGCAGACUAUACGAACAACAAGAAUGAAUGGUGGCAAGUAUCCUGGGUCUUUCUGUCAAGAAAUAGAUGUGAAAAUUAUUCAUUUAAUUGAACCUGGAAAUAAACCACCACAGCUAACAGAAAACCUUUUAACAAUAGGUGUUGUUUUAAAAUUUGUGAAAUUUGAUAAUAAGCAGAAGUUGAUUUAUAACAUGUACAAAUGAUCAAAUGUAACUGUUUAACAAUUUUAAUCGAGAUGCUUUAUUUUCUGAUGUUUGAUUUAUUUUUCCUUUCAUAUGAUGUACAUUUGUGUGUUUCUGGGUUUUUUAUAAAUAAUUCUGAAACAUUUAUGCAGCAUACUGUUACAUUAUUGUUAACAUUAUUAUAUUAUGAUGGUUAUCUGGUUUAUCAAGUGGAGCAAAUGUUAUUUAUAUAAAAAUAAAGCUUAUUAAGAGUUA